rnacentral:rRNA from 1 species
UACGGAGGGAGCUAGCGUUAUUCGGAAUUACUGGGCGUAAAGCGCACGUAGGCGGCUUUGUAAGUAAGAGGUGAAAGCCCAGAGCUCAACUCUGGAAUUGCCUUUUAGACUGCAUCGCUUGAAUCAUGGAGAGGUCAGUGGAAUUCCGAGUGUAGAGGUGAAAUUCGUAGAUAUUCGGAAGAACACCAACGGCGAAGGCAGCACUCUGGGCCGGUACUGACGCUGAGGAGCGAAAGCGUGGGUAGCAAACAGG